AUGAAUAUGACAUUUUUUGAAAACUGUCUUGAAUUUUGAUAUUGAAGAAAUGAAAAAAAUUCAAUUUGUGUAAAAACUCAUGUUUUACUGUUAUUGCAAGGAUCUUUAGAUGCUUUACUUAAAGCUGACAUUUUAAAAUAUGGCAACAGUUAAUGACGAUGACAAUCACUGAAUAAUCCAUCAAUAUUUAUUCAAAUCAACAGUUAUUAAAAAGCAUAUUCUGCUCAAAAUACUAGUGUAUAUUUUAACAAACCUUUUUAAUAAUAUACUUUGCUUCUCAUAGCAAAGUGUAACAAUGACAAAAAUUUGGGAACGUACAAACCUCUCUGUGGUUAGCUCUAAAUCAAAAUCUGACCAGAUCAAAAUUAUUUUAGAGUUUUUCAGGUAUACGCACCUAGAACAUCAAAUAUAGACAAAGAAGACAAGAGAAAGUUAGAUUCUUUUUACUCGUGAGAACGGACAGAGAUGUGUUUCAGUUACAAUCUCUGCCUAUUCUAAAAACACAUUCUGCCGCAUUUCUCUUUUUACUGAAAAAGACGUCCCUAUUACAUUGAGCUCUACAGGGUAAAAAGGAGGAAACAAAAACAUAUAAUUCAGUUUCAUAAGAUAAACUAGAACAUUUACUACGACAGUAUGACUGUGUAAGGCUAAUAAGCACCAUUACGCUUUAAAUUAUCCUAUUAUAAACAUGAAGAAUAGGAUGUCCUUCUGCUGAGCAGCCGUCUGAUUAGAACAAGCUGGCGCCGGCUGUCUCUGCAUCCUUCAACAUACUCAGAAAUAUAGUUAAAGGAAUUCAGAAUAUGCAAUGUUUAAGCAAAUGUCUGAUAAAUGUAUACAAUUUCUCCAACAGAUUUUUUUCAAACAAACAUCAGAGUUUUAUUUAUGGAAAAACAAGAACAUUUCACUGCUUUCAUUUCUAAAGUAUUUUACAUCCAGUCAUACACAGAAACUUCAAAUAAAAGCUAAACUCAAUUAUUCUACAUGGUACAGAACUCCAUGAAAACUGAAAUGCACAGAAAUUAAUCCUGUCUGAAUGUGUUCCCCUCUUUAACUUCAGUAUCUAAUGGGAUACUGAUGGGGAUCUUAAGUACAAAUACGACUGAGAAUUAAAACAAAAAACUGGAUUAAGGAAAACAAGCUGCUAGGCAAAAGUAGACCUCAGGUUUAUCUUGGUCAGACAGUGAAAGACACAAUCACAGUGAAUCACUAGCAGCCUGCAAGAAUCUGUUGACUUUAAUAUGUUCAACUUGCUGUUUACAUCAUCCAACCAGGUUUUCUUUUGGAUCUGAUGCCAAAACGGAUCUGAGGUGUUUCCUACCUAAGGCUUCUAGUCUGAGUGAAUCCUUAUGUGACGAGUUAAAUUAUGUCUAUAACUGUAACUCUUUCCACAGGUCCCACAGGAGAAAGGUUUCUCACCUGCGUGAAUUCUCAUGUGCUUAGUUAAAGUCCUACUAUCAGCAUAACUUUUUCCACAGGUCCCACAGGAGAAAGGCUUCUCAGCAGUGUGAAUUCUCACGUGAACAUUUAAAUAACCUUUUCGAGAGAAACUCUUUCCACAGGUCCCACAGGAGAAAGGCUUCUCACCUCUGUGAAUUCUCAUGUGACGAGUUAAAGUCCCACUAUCAGCGUAACUUUUUCCACAGGUCCCACAGGAGAAAG